rnacentral:miRNA from 1 species
GAGGUGGGAGGAUUGCUUGAGUCCAGGAGGUUGAGGCUGCAGUGAGCUGUGAUCAUACCACUGCACUCCAGCCUGGGUGACAGGGCAAGAC